rfam:Staphylococcus sp. NAM3COL9 strain NA309 scaffold000011, whole genome shotgun sequence.
CGAACCAAGUAGAAGCUCCCGCUUCUCACCUGUUGCGACACUGAUAGUAGUUGGCAGGUCUAUAUAUAUACGACAUUGUUGUGUAUAAAGAAGAGCGGGUAUAUUAUAUACUCGCUCUUUUUCUUGGGA